UUCAGCAGUGGACGUCUUAUGGCUGAGAUGAUGAUGAUGAUGAUGAUGAAACAAAAUCUACCCUCAAAUGGCUUCUUAAGUAAGCCAGUUGAGGUUGGAUGAAAACAUUACACGAUCAAAUAACGUAGGUUAAAGUCAGGUCGUUUGGUGACAUAUCUAGGCGGUUUUGCAUUUGGUUGGUUAACCAAUAAAUCUUAUAACUACCCGAAAAUGUAAAAAUUGUUUGUUUACUUUUAUUUAAAUACCUAAAGAUACAGACUACAAGUGCUGGUAUUAAAAAAAAGGUGGUACCAGAGUUAGGCUUGCAACUUUCAAAAAGAUGAUUAUACAAUCAAAUCCUUUAUUAUGUAUGACCUUUCCGGAACAUCGGAAUUGUGUGUAAUGCCAACUCCUAUGUUGAAUAAGACAUGCACAAGAUUUUAAUGGUGAUUAUUAUAGAUAGACUACGCAAUAGCUAAUCUAUUAAAAAAAUAUCUAUAUCUUACAGCAAACUAGUAUGCAUAUCGCUGGUCGGCAGCAGCAAGGAGUGGAGCGUUUCCAUGCCCGAUACCGAGGAGAUCCUGUGCGUCACGGCGGGCAGCGACGUCGUCGCGUGUGCGACUAACGCGAGGUUGCUGCGGCUGUUCACGCCAAUGGGCACGCAGAGACAGGUCUGAUGAUGCUUCGACUUCAAGGGUAAAAACGAAUAAAACCACAGAUUGUAUACGAGGAACACCGCCAAAAUAUGGCUACAGCAACAUAGAAAUGACUCCACGAAAAAAAAAACUUGUAAAAAAGUUGCAGCGAACACAGUGUUUGUUAUCAUCACUCUCAAAAACAUCCGUCGAUUUGGACAAAUUAGAUUCCGAUUUUCUGAAAAAUGUUGUAUCAGACUCUCUGAAAAAUCAAGCCCGGAAACCUAGAGGCAAGCGAUGGAAUUUAAUGAACAAAAUUUCUGCUUUACAAAUUUUUAAGAGGUCACCCAAGACAUACCGUUUUCUGCAGCAUAUAAUGCCUUUGCCCAGUGUUCGAACAAUUCAACGCUUACCAAAAUCUUAAUUAGAAGACAGUGCCAAAUAUUAAAUUCGGAUAUUAUUAAAACAGAAGAAAUUUCUGCGAACGCUGCAAAGAUAGCUCAACUAAGAAGCGCUGCAAAAUAAUAUAUGUAAUUACGAGUAUGCAAUAUCAAUUCCACGCGGACGAAGUCGCGGGCAACACCGCGACUUCGUCCGCGUGGAAUCUUAUCUUCAACAUUUUACAUCUUUAGUACCUAUAAUUUUCAUAUCCAAGCAAUGUUGACAUUUUUUAGCAAGUUGUAUGAAGUUUUAAGUCAAGUGGAUUUUGAUGUUGGUUGCUGAAAUUACUUUUCUUGUAUUCUCAUAAUAGGUACCUAUGCCCUUAUACAAAGAUUCAAGUUCCGCAUUCCGCACUCACAAAGUAUCUGAUCUCCAUACAAACUUUCAACCCCUUUUUCACCACCUUAGGGGAUGAAUUUUCAUAAAUGCUGAAAUGAGUUUUCUUGUAUUUUAAUUUAAAACGUUUUUACAAAGUUUCAAGUUCCUUGCUUAAAAUAAAAUUUGCACCCGCAGACAAACUUCCAUCCCCUUUUUAACCCCCUUAGGGGUUGAAAUUCCAAAAACGUUGCAAUCACUUUUUUUUGCAUACGGCUAUUAUGCCUUUCUAAGAAGUUUCAAAACCAUUUGUAAUGGAUUCAAACUUUCAACCCCUUUUUAACCCUGUUAGGGGAUGAAUUUUACAAAACGCUGAAAUUACUUUUCCUGUCUUCUAAUAAUAUCCCUAAAUACAAAGAUUCAAGUCCAACACUCGAAAAAAUGUUUGAUAUCCAUACAAACUUUCAACCCCUUUUUCAUCACUUUAGAGGUUGAAUUUUCAAAAACGCUGAAAUUAGUUUUCUUGUAUUUAAAUAAUAUAUCUUUUAACGAAGUUUCAAAUUCGUAGCUCAAAAGAAAACUUUAACCCCAUACAAACUUUACGUUCAUAACAUAAGCGUAUUGUAAUAAUAAACUAUCUGUAUCAUAUCUUUAAUAUGUUAAAUAAAAUUAUUUUUAUAUUU